CGAUUCUGGCUCAGGAUGAACGCUAGCGGCAGGCUUAACACAUGCAAGUCGAGGGGCAUCGGGAGUAGCAAUACUGCCGGCGACCGGCGCAAGGGUGCGUAACGCGUGAGCAACAUGCCCGUAUCAGGGGGAUAAUCCAUGGAAACGUGGUCUAAUACCCCAUAGUAAUUAUGUAAGGCAUCUUAUAUAAUUUAAAGCUUUGGUGGAUACGGAUUGGCUCGCGUGACAUUAGCUGGAUGGUAAGGUAACGGCUUACCAUGGCUACGAUGUCUAGGGGUUCUGAGAGGAAGGUCCCCCACACUGGAACUGAGACACGGUCCAGACUCCUACGGGAGGCAGCAGUGAGGAAUAUUGGACAAUGGAUGGAAAUCUGAUCCAGCCAUGCCGCGUGCAGGAAGACGGCCCUAUGGGUUGUAAACUGCUUUUGUAUGGGAGCAAUAAGGGCUACGUGUAGUCCGAUGAGAGUACCAUACGAAUAAGCACCGGCUAACUCCGUGCCAGCCGCGGC
rnacentral:rRNA from 1 species